rnacentral:rRNA from 1 species
GACGAACGCUGGCGGCGUGCCUAAUACAUGCAAGUUGAGCGCUGAAGGUUGGUACUUGUACCAACUGGAUGAGCAGCGCACGGGUGAGUAACGCGUGGGGAAUCUGCCUUUGAGCGGGGGACAACAUUUGGAAACGAAUGCUAAUACCGCAUAAAAACUUUAAACACAAGUUUUAAGUUUGAAAGAUGCAAUUGCAUCACUCAAAGAUGAUCCCGCGUUGUAUUAGCUAGUUGGUGAGGUAAAGGCUCACCAAGGCGAUGAUACAUAGCCGACCUGAGAGGGUGAUCGGCCACAUUGGGACUGAGACACGGCCCAAACUCCUACGGGAGGCAGCAGUAGGGAAUCUUCGGCAAUGGACGAAAGUCUGACCGAGCAACGCCGCGUGAGUGAAGAAGGGUUUCGGAUCGUAAAACUCGGUUGGUAGAGAAGAACGUUGGUGAGAGUGGAAAGCUCAUCAAGUGACGGUAACUACACAGAAAGGGACGGCUAACUACGUG